GUCACUGUGUCAGUCAGUCUGUCAGGUCACUGUGCUAGUCAGUGUGUCAGUCAGUCAGUCUGUCAGGUCACUGUGUCAGUCAGUGUAUUUGGUCAGUCUGUCAGGAUAGUCAGUCAGUCAGUCAGUUCACUGUGUCAGUCAGUGUAUUUGGUCAGUCUGUCAGGAUAGUCAGUCAGUCAGUCAGGUCACUGUGUCAGUCAGUCUGUCAGGAUAGAUAGUCAGUCAGUCAGUCUGUCAGGUCACUGUGUCAGUCAGUC